GACGAACGCUGGCGGCGUGCUUAACACAUGCAAGUCGAACGGAAAGGCCCUGCUUUUGUGGGGUGCUCGAGUGGCGAACGGGUGAGUAACACGUGAGUAACCUGCCCUUGACUUUGGGAUAACUUCAGGAAACUGGGGCUAAUACCGGAUAGGAGCUCCUGCUGCAUGGUGGGGGUUGGAAAGUUUCGGCGGUUGGGGAUGGACUCGCGGCUUAUCAGCUUGUUGGUGGGGUAGUGGCUUACCAAGGCUUUGACGGGUAGCCGGCCUGAGAGGGUGACCGGCGACAUUGGGACUGAGAGACGGCCCAGACGCCUACGGGAGGCAGCAGUGGGGAAUAUUGCACAAUGGGCGGAAGCCUGAUGCAGCAACGCCGCGUGCGGGAUGACGGCCUUCGGGUUGUAAACCGCUGUCGCCUGUGACGAAGCGUGAGUGACGGUAAUGGGUAAAGAAGCACCGGCUAACUACGUG
rnacentral:rRNA from 1 species